UCAGCCUCAGGUGGAGGCAGCAAAGACCACACUGCACCCCGUUCCCGGCCUCGGUGUUUUAUCUCCAGCUGGUCAAUGCUGGCUCUCUGGUCCCUGUCCCUAUGUCCCACUGAUGCCACUGAGGCACCACUGUGUGUAGGGAAGUCCCUGAUGCAUCUGAUGGAGCUCAGAGGACACGUGGCUGCGUUUUUGUAGGCAGAUGGGAAGGUCCAAGUGCAUGACCCUCAGGUUGGCUGGCACAGGAAUGUCCUCCGGUGGCACCCUCCAGCAAAGAUUUUCCAGACCAGAGCAAGGAAGUGUUAUCAUUCCAGCCACCUCCACCACCUGCAGGAGACACGGAGAAAACCCCAAGUGAGGAUGCUGGUCAGGAACCCUGGAUUAGGCCAGACAAACCAAUGGGCUUUAUUGCUUCCUGGGCAAGAACUUCUCCAUUCUGAGCCUCAGUUUCCUCACCUGUGACUUGGGGAUAAUAAGACUUGCCUCAUUGGGUUGAUGUUUGGACCAAAGAAGACAACGAGUGUGCAAAAUGCUUCAGAAACCACGACGUGUAGGGAUCGUUGGGCAUGAAGUGAACACGUGUGUGCACAGGGCCUCACGCUCUGAAGCUCAGGAAAGGCACUCUACUCCAAAAGACCCCAAAGUCCUUUCUGUUCCAGCAGAUGGUGGUAGCAAGGACCUGGAGAAACAGCAGUGCUUGAGUCUGCGGAACUAUGAGGGUUAACUGGCCGGGAAGGGCGGUCUGGAAGAAUGAGUGGCAGAGCUUUUAAGCAAAUGUGUGGAAAAGAAAACAAUCGGCAUAAAGAGAAAAAAAAACCAAAUGAACCACAGCAGUGUUUUAAAAAAUGGACUGAGUAUGAAACAGUUUGGCUAUUUGGAGAAAAAAGAAUCCACCAACUCUAUGAGCUCAUUGAUUCUUCUGUAAAAUGGGAAUAAUAGUACAACAGGAAAGCCCUGCGGGUGGUGCUGAGAAGCACACGUACAACAGAUGUGGAAGUGCUUGGAGAGUUCUUAACUGCCGCUGUGAACAUCGCUGGAUGGUCUUCACCAAGCACCCAAGCCCUACUCCCACUCUCCCUUCUCUUCUAGCCAUCUCUCACUUGUAGGGAAAGUUUGAGUACUUGUUUUCAUUAAUCUCAAAUCUUAUAUGCCUUCUGAGAUCCUUGGUCUGACUGUGGAGAAAAGAAAAUACAACAAUGAACUGCAUUUUCUCUUCAGACACGG